CCCAGACUCCUACGGGAGGCAGCAGUGGGGAAUAUUGCACAAUGGGGGAAACCCUGAUGCAGCGACGCCGCGUGGAGGAAGAAGGUCUUCGGAUUGUAAACUCCUGUUGUUGAGGAAGAUAAUGACGGUACUCAACAAGGAAGUGACGGCUAACUACGUGCCAGCAGCCGCGGUAAAACGUAGGUCACAAGCGUUGUCCGGAAUUACUGGGUGUAAAGGGAGCGCAGGCGGGAAGACAAGUUGGAAGUGAAAUCUAUGGGCUCAACCCAUAAACUGCUUUCAAAACUGUUUUUCUUGAGUAGUGCAGAGGUAGGCGGAAUUCCCGGUGUAGCGGUGGAAUGCGUAGAUAUCGGGAGGAACACCAGUGGCGAAGGCGGCCUACUGGGCACCAACUGACGCUGAGGCUCGAAAGUGUGGGUAGCAAACAGGAUUAGAUACCCUGGUAGUCCACACCGUAAACGAUGAUUACUAGGUGUUGGAGGAUUGACCCCUUCAGUGCCGCAGUUAACACAAUAAGUAAUCCACCUGGGGAGUACGACCGCAAGGUUGAAACUCAAAGGAAUUGACGGGGGCCCGCACAAGCAGUGGAGUAUGUGGUUUAAUUCGACGCAACGCGAAGAACCUUACCAAGUCUUGACAUCCUGCGACGAUGCUGGAAACAGUAUUUUCCUUCGGGACGCAGAGACAGGUGGUGCAUGGUUGUCGUCAGCUCGUGUCGUGAGAUGUUGGGUUAAGUCCCGCAACGAGCGCAACCCUUACUGUCAGUUACUACGCAAGAGGACUCUGGCAGGACUGCCGUUGACAAAACGGAGGAAGGUGGGGAUGACGUCAAAUCAUCAUGCCCUUUAUGACUUGGGCUACACACGUACUACAAUGGCGUUAAACAAAGAGAAGCAAGACCGCGAGGUGGAGCAAAACUCAGAAACAACGUCCCAGUUCGGACUGCAGGCUGCAACUCGCCUGCACGAAGUCGGAAUUGCUAGUAAUCGUGGAUCAG
rnacentral:rRNA from 1 species